GUUGUGGAUGAACGGACGAAGCUUUUAGUUUAGGAAGCAUCGCUGAUAGCUGUGGUUCAGGCUUGAAUCAUGUUGGUCCAUAAGAUAGCUGUUCGUCGGAAUGAGAAACCUCGCAUCCGAUAUGGUCCGAUGUUAAUCCAGGAUCAAGAAAGGAUAGUGAAUCUGAACUACAUCUACAACUGCAACGACACAGAGGCUCUGUGGAUGCUUCCAAUGAAAAGAGCACCUUUUGCCAGGGUUGUGCAGACGUUUAGGAGCGGGGUGCUAGAAGAUAGCAUCCACACCACUGUGGAAGAACAAGUGGCCACGUUCCUCCAUGUUGUUGGUCAUAACCAGAGGUUCAUGGUUGUACACAACACCUUCAGGAGGUCAAUGGAGACCAUCUCCAGGUACUUCAAGCAAGUGUUGCAUGUUGUUGGGGAGCUCAGAGGAGAGAUGAUCAGGUCACCAACCGGCCGGACUCCUACCAAGAUUCGCACUAGCCCAAGAUGGUAUCCAUACUUCAAGGUGAGCACUUACAGAAUGUAG
rnacentral:rRNA from 1 species